UCUCCGUUGGUGAACCAGCGGAGGGAUCAUUACAGGACUCGCAAGACUCCUACAACCCUGUGAACUUAACUAUAAGCACGUUGCUUCGGCGGGUGUCUCGGAGGGGGUGCGCCCUCCCCGAACCGCUAAACCCGCCGGCAGCAAACUAUACUCUGUCUCUUUGCGUUGGCAUCUCGAGUACAAUCAAACAAGUUAAAACUUUCAACAACGGAUCUCUUGGUUCUG
rnacentral:misc_RNA from 1 species